CGGGAGCGGAUCGCGAGGAACCGGAAGUGCUAAAGUCUCUGAGGCCAAGGCCGGUGCUACUGCCGCCGCUGCUUCUGAGUGCCGCGUUCGCCGCCUGUGUUGUCACCGGCGCCGCCGCUGAGGAAGCCACUGCAACCAAGACUGGAGUGGAGGCGCCGCAGCAUGAAGCGGCGCAGGCCCGCUCCAUAGCGCACGUCGGGACGGUCCGGGCGGGGCCGGGGGGGAAGGAAAAUGCAACAUGGCAGCAGCAAUGGAAACAGAACAGCUGGGUGUUGAGAUAUUUGAAACUGCAGACUGUGAGGAGAAUAUUGAAUCACAGGAUCGGCCUAAAUUGGAGCCGUUUUAUGUUGAGCGGUAUUCCUGGAGUCAGCUUAAAAAGCUGCUUGCUGAUACCAGAAAAUAUCAUGGCUACAUGAUGGCUAAGGCACCACAUGAUUUCAUGUUUGUGAAGAGGAAUGAUCCAGAUGGGCCUCAUUCAGACAGAAUCUAUUACCUUGCCAUGUCUGGUGAGAACAGAGAAAAUACACUGUUUUAUUCUGAAAUUCCCAAAACUAUCAAUAGAGCAGCAGUCCUAAUGCUCUCUUGGAAGCCUCUUUUGGAUCUUUUUCAGGCAACACUGGACUAUGGAAUGUAUUCUCGAGAAGAAGAACUAUUAAGAGAAAGAAAACGCAUUGGAACAGUUGGAAUUGCUUCUUACGAUUAUCACCAAGAAAGUGGAACAUUUCUGUUUCAAGCUGGUAGUGGAAUUUAUCACAUAAAAGAUGGAGGGCCACAAGGAUUCACGCAACAACCUUUAAGGCCCAAUUUAGUGGAAACUAGUUGUCCCAACAUACGGAUGGAUCCAAAAUUAUGCCCUGCUGAUCCAGACUGGAUUGCUUUUAUACAUAGCAAUGAUAUUUGGAUAUCUAACAUCGUAACCAGAGAAGAAAGGAGACUCACUUAUGUGCACAAUGAGCUAGCCAACAUGGAAGAAGAUGCCAGAUCAGCUGGAGUCGCUACCUUUGUUCUCCAAGAAGAAUUUGAUAGAUAUUCUGGCUAUUGGUGGUGUCCAAAAGCUGAAACAACUCCCAGUGGUGGUAAAAUUCUUAGAAUUCUAUAUGAAGAAAAUGAUGAAUCUGAGGUGGAAAUUAUUCAUGUUACAUCCCCUAUGCUGGAAACAAGGAGGGCAGAUUCAUUCCGUUAUCCUAAAACAGGUACAGCAAAUCCUAAAGUCACUUUUAAGAUGUCAGAAAUAAUGAUUGAUGCCGAAGGAAGGAUUAUGGAUGUCAUAGAUAAGGAACUAAUUCAACCUUUUGAGAUUCUAUUUGAAGGAGUUGAAUAUAUUGCCAGAGCUGGAUGGACUCCCGAGGGAAAAUAUGCUUGGUCCAUCCUACUAGAUCGCUCCCAAACUCGCCUGCAAAUAGUGUUGAUCUCACCUGAAUUAUUUAUCCCAGUAGAAGAUGAUGUUAUGGAAAGGCAGAGACUCAUUGAGUCAGUGCCUGACUCUGUGACGCCACUAAUUAUCUAUGAAGAAACAACAGACAUCUGGAUAAAUAUCCAUGACAUCUUUCAUGUUUUUCCCCAAAGUCACGAAGAGGAAAUUGAGUUUAUUUUUGCCUCUGAAUGCAAAACAGGUUUCCGUCAUUUAUACAAAAUUACGUCUAUUUUAAAGGAAAGCAAAUAUAAACGAUCCAGUGGUGGGCUGCCUGCUCCAAGUGAUUUCAAGUGUCCUAUCAAAGAGGAGAUAGCAAUUACCAGUGGUGAAUGGGAAGUUCUUGGCCGGCAUGGAUCUAAUAUCCAAGUUGAUGAAGUCAGAAGGCUGGUAUAUUUUGAAGGUACCAAAGACUCCCCUUUAGAGCAUCAUCUGUACGUAGUCAGUUACGUAAAUCCUGGAGAGGUGACAAGGCUAACUGACCGUGGCUAUUCACAUUCUUGCUGCAUCAGUCAGCAUUGUGACUUCUUUAUAAGUAAGUAUAGUAACCAGAAGAAUCCACACUGUGUGUCCCUUUACAAGCUAUCAAGUCCUGAAGAUGAUCCAGCUUGCAAAACAAAGGAAUUUUGGGCCACCAUUUUGGAUUCAGCAGGUCCUCUUCCUGACUAUACCCCUCCAGAAAUUUUCUCUUUUGAAAGUACUACUGGAUUUACAUUGUAUGGGAUGUUGUACAAGCCUCAUGAUCUACAGCCUGGAAAGAAAUAUCCAACUGUGCUGUUCAUAUAUGGUGGUCCUCAGGUGCAGUUGGUGAAUAAUCGAUUUAAAGGAGUCAAGUAUUUCCGCUUGAAUACCCUAGCCUCUCUAGGUUAUGUGGUUGUAGUAAUAGACAACAGGGGAUCCUGUCACCGAGGGCUUAAAUUUGAAGGCGCCUUUAAAUACAAAAUGGAAGCUUUAAAUGCUACCUUUUAGAGAUGCCCCAUGUCCUUUCUGCUGCUUUGGGAAAUGAUGAGAAUCCGAUGUUCCUUUUGCACAGUAAGGCAGUUACUGUGUUUGCCAGUGUUAUUGGACAUGCUGAGUAAGACAUGGGGAUUUUCUCCCACAGCCAGUUCUUUGACCUUAUGUUGUAUUCUCAUGGUCAAAUAGAAAUUGAUGAUCAGGUGGAAGGACUCCAAUAUCUAGCUUCUCGAUAUGAUUUCAUUGACUUAGAUCGUGUGGGCAUCCACGGCUGGUCCUAUGGAGGAUACCUCUCCCUGAUGGCAUUAAUGCAGAGGUCAGAUAUCUUCAGGGUUGCUAUUGCUGGGGCCCCAGUCACUCUGUGGAUCUUCUAUGAUACAGGAUACACGGAACGUUAUAUGGGUCACCCUGACCAGAAUGAACAGGGCUAUUACUUAGGAUCUGUGGCCAUGCAAGCAGAAAAGUUCCCCUCUGAACCAAAUCGUUUACUGCUCUUACAUGGGUUCCUGGAUGAGAAUGUCCAUUUUGCACAUACCAGUAUAUUACUGAGUUUUUUAGUGAGGGCUGGAAAGCCAUAUGAUUUACAGAUCUAUCCUCAGGAGAGACACAGCAUAAGAGUUCCUGAAUCUGGAGAACAUUAUGAACUGCAUCUUUUGCACUACCUUCAGGAAAACCUUGGAUCACGUAUUGCUGCUCUAAAAGUGAUAUAAUUUUGACCUGUAUAGAACUCUCUGGUAUACACUGGCUAUUUAACCAAAUGAGGAGGUUUAAUCAAUAGAAAACACAGAAUUGAUCAUCACACUUUGAUACCUGCCACGUAACAUCUACUCCUGAAAAUAAAUGUGGUGCCAUGCAGGGGUCUACAGUUUGUGGUAGUAAUCUAAUACCUUAACCCCACAUGCUCAAAAUCAGAUGAUACAUAUUCCUGAGAGACCCAGCAAUACCAUGAGAAUUACUUUAAAAAAAAAAAAAAGCAUUAACACCAUGUAUUCAUACUACCCUAUUUUCACUUUUAAUAGUAUUAUAAACUUCAUGAACUUAAUUAGUGUAUUUUUACAGUAUACUUUCGAAUUUGUUAAAAUAUGAUAUUAGUGAUUGGUUUGGUUCAGUUCCAGAAUCUCUGACUAGUUACAGAUUUGAUAGCACUUAAAUGUAAUUGAAUAGCUUAUGCUUCAUUGCUUGGGCAUAUCCAGCAUGUUAUGAACUAAUAACCAUUAAACUUGACUUAACCAGUCAUUCAUUAUUGAUUUUUCAAGGAUAACUUAGUGGCCUCCUAAAGACACUUGUUUUGGCACUGACCAGUUUUUAGCCAAUUUAAUCUGUAUCUAGUAUAAAUAAUACUCAUUUUUCUUUGAUGAUAUUAACAGAGUGGGCUUUUCCUUUUGCAUAAAGGCUAGUAACUGUAUAUGUAGCAUGGAUUUAAUUAGUCAUGAUACUGAUAAUUACAGGCAGAAAAUUUUUAAUCAAAUGAUUAGAGCUUAAAUAUUUGCAGGCAAGUUUUGUUUUUUGUUUUUUUUUUUUUCCUUUAAGAAAAGGAAAAAGUACACAUUCACUAGAAUUCUUCAGAAAAUUUAGUGGUGCCAGUUUCCAUUUGGAAUUUCCUUAUUAAAAUAUUCUAGAAUUUUAAGGAGAUUGAAGGGAGUCACAGUGGGGUGGAGAGUCCUGGGUUUGGGAAAUGACAGAGAGAAGAGGUGGUGAGGGCCUGAUUAAAAACUAAGCAGAAGUAGUUUUAACAAAAAGACUCAGGAAAAUGUUUGGAAACUGAAAUUUAAACAACUAGAAUAUUAAGGAAACCAGAAUCAAUAAAUCACUGUCUUGCCAGCACAGCUACAGAGUAACAUGAUUCAGGGGAGGAAGAGUUCCUUAGAGUUACUUUUAUAAUUCUUUUUUUUUUUUUUUUUUCCCUCUUAGGUUUAGAAAUCCUACACAUUUAAACUUUAUCCUUUUAAAAUUAUUUGAACAUAAUUUAGAUAUUGUAAGCUUAAAAUACAAAUGUUUACAGAUAACCUCUUUACCAUAAACUAAUCCCUGGCAACCCAUGGCUCUCUUUUUUUUUUGGUGUUUAAAGCCUAUAAACAGGUUUCUUGAAUGAUCAUGAACUUUUCUUGGUUUAGCACUAGGAUUUAGCUAUGAAGAGAGCUCAUAGGCUUUCAGGUGCUAAUUGAGAUCUGCCCUGUUAGAGUCUUGGGGUGCUAGAUCGGUCACGUUGACACCAGUGGCAGGGAAGGCAUCUAUGAGUUUGAUCGCACACUUCAGUGUUUAGAAAGUUAUUACCAAUACUUUUAAACAACACUCCAAGAAAACUUGCUAUAUUUCUUUCUCAUCACUACAGAGAGAGUAGAUUUCCCCAUAGAGAGCACAGCCUUCAUUAGUAAGGUUGGUGACUACUGGUAAGAGGUGGACUUCAUUGACACCAAGUGGGAGGUAGGGAAAGCCCAGAAAUGGCAGGAUGACAUGGUGGUUCUGUCGUUGGGAAAGGUAUUGGGUUUUGCUGUUUGUGUUUAUACUGUAUAAUAGAUACCACACUUUUUCUUAUUAUCUGUAUAUGUAUUGCUUUUCAUGUUUGAUAUUUUCCCAUGCCAAAAUUUGUUUAUAUAUAUUUUCAAUGUUAAAUUAAAUUGAUUUGGGUAACUUUCUUCCCCAAGAAAGUAUUUUUCCCCUUUAAGUAUAUAUCUGACUGUGGAGGGUGUUUUGUUUUGUUUCGUUUGGACUAACUGGCCUCAAAGGAUCUAUCCUUAUACGCAAUAUAAACUAGAAAUGGUAUACAGUAGCUUUUAAGCAGCUACUCCAUUGAAACCUUUCACCCAUUAAGGCUGUUUCUUCAAAAUGGCAUCUUUUAUUUUGCUGAAACAAACUUAGAAAACUUCAUGUACUCUUGAAUUCACCGGUGUUUUCCUUUUGCAUGUUGCCUUCUCCUUUCCUCCUAUCACAAAGAAUGUUUCUAUUAUCACUCCCACUUAAAUGCCAUUCUGCUGCUUUAGCGGGAAAAAAAUACCUGAAUGAAUUCACUUGCAGAAAGACAGUUUGACUGAAUUUGCUUUUUACAACCAGUGUGGAAAAUAUCGUAGUCAAUUGAGGCAAUCAGUAGAAAUCUAACUAAAAGUUUGUACCCCAUGAGUAUGGGUAACAGCUUAAACGGCAAGAAUAUAUAAAAGUAGCAACAGUUUAGUGGGAGCCAAAAAGCACUAGGUUACAUAAUAUCAUACUGUGUUUUUAAAGACUUGAUAAAUGUGUACACUUGAACAACCAUCAAGAGGGAUAGUUACUUGAGCAUUUUAGAGUAGUGGAACUCAAAAUCUAAGAUUCGUCUGGGAUACUUACUAAAAGAAAUGUAGAGUUUUGAAUCUCACUCUUAAAAGUAUGUAUUCCCAGGCUAGGCAUGGUGGCUCACACCUGUAAUCCUAGCACUUUGGGAGACAAAGGCGGGUGAAUCACUUGAAGUCAGGAGAUCAAGACCACCUUGGUCAACAUGGUGAAACCCCGUCUCUACUAGAAAUACAAAAAAAUUAGCCGGGCAUGAUGGCGUGUGCCUAUAAUCCUGAACCUACUCGGGAGGCUGAGGCAGGAGAAUCGCUUGAACCUAGGAGGCAGAAGUUGCAGUGAGCUGAGAUGGCGCCACUGUAGUCCAGUCUGGGCGACAGACUAUGCCUCAAAAUAAAUAAAUAAAUAAAAAUUUGUAUUCCAUUGAUUUGGGUAGACACCAGGAAUGUGCAUUUCUAACAAGCUUUCCAGGCGAUCCUACAGUAAGUCAUCUAUGGACUACUUUAAGAAACUCUUCUAUAGAGAAUGGAGUUGGAUUAAUAAUAGGUGAUUUUUUACACUGGACUGAUUCACAAGAACCUAAACAGUAGUCCAUGAAGCUGCUCAUCUGUGGUAACUGUUUGGCCCUUCUCACUCUGAAAGCAGCAGGAGAUGUUUACUUUGUUUCUAUCCCGUUUGUCUGGAGAUUAAUUUUGGAAUAAAAGUUUUUCUCUUUAUGCCAUUCCUGGUUCUUUUCCAAAGCCUCAUACAAGAAGAUUAGGUCACAAUGCAUGCAUUACCUUUUUAAAAAAUGCAAUGUUGAUACCGAUGCUUACUUUUUUUUUUUUUUUUUUUUUUACUACUUGUUUUAUUCCUUCCAGAUAGUAUAGCCGGCCUUUCUAUAGCAUAGUUCUCUUCAGGUGGAAUGAUUCCUGUAAGAUUUCUCAUUAUUAAAUCAUGCAUUUUCCAAGAUGGAAUCAAUCUUUGAUUUAAUCUAAUCUAAUAUUCUCAUUUGUUAGAAGAACAACCUACAUGCUAGAGAGAGAGGAGGAAAUAUACCCGUGACCACAGCCAGUUAGUAGCCAGUUGGUGCUGGACUCCAGCCAGGUGUCCUGCCUCAUGGUAGUUAAAUGAUAUAUAGAAAAGGUAAAUUUUUAAAGAAAUAUUUAUUAAUAUAUUCAUAUAAAACAUUUUAAAGGUAACCACAUAAAAAAUGGUUAAUUUUUCCAUUCCAAAGUAAAUGCUAAGCAUGCUUAUUAAUGAAGCAGUACUUCUAAUUAGUAUAUGACAUUCUGAAGUUAAUUAAACUCAUUGCACUAAAUGUGUCUUCCUUGGUAUAGUGGGGGAUUUGAGGAUUGGAAUAUAGAGUAGAGUGCUUGCUUACACCAGGGAGCCCAUCUUAUAGCUAUUUGAUGUAAGAAAAGAGACAUGGCCAUUUCUAAACUAUAUAAGGUGAGUGUCUAUUCCCAUCAGAUAUAAAGGAGAAAGAAAACUUUUUUGACUCCCACCUUCCCACCCUCACCUAUCCAUCUUCCAGCCUCAAAUAUGGAGAUGUUAGUGCAAGGUGCUGGACUCUAGGUAAUCAUUUCGUAAGUCCUUUACAGGUAAAGAAAAAGUAGUGUUUGUAUGUUUGUUUUUAAGUAACCCCAAAACAAAUUUAUGUUGUAUUCAGCAAAAUUGGAGUUCAGGUGUUUAAUUUUAGAACAUAAAGUGCCUGCUGUUUUAAGCAUUGACUUGUAUAAAAAGAAUUGCAUGUCUCACUCCAGUAAGCUUAUGGGUUUUCUCAUUUUUAGGUAUAUGGCUUUUAAUCAUGUAAAGUGAAACAUUAGUUUUGUUGCAUUUUAUUACAGGUUCUUUGUUGCAAUAAAGAUGCUGCUGAAAUUAA